rnacentral:rRNA from 1 species
UACAGAGGUGGCAAGCGUUGUUCGGAAUUACUGGGCGUAAAGCGCGUGUAGGCGGCUCUUCAAGUCAGGCGUGAAAGCCCCGGGCUCAACCCGGGAAGUGCAUUGGAUACUGGCAGACUUGAAUACGGGAGAGGGUAGUGGAAUUCCUAGUGUAGGAGUGAAAUCCGUAGAUAUUAGGAGGAACACCGGUGGCGAAGGCGGCUACCUGGACCGAUAUUGACGCUGAGACGCGAAAGCGUGGGGAGCAAACA